GGCACGCUUCAUACAUGCAAGUCGAGGGGCAGCAUAAAUUACUUGUAAUUUGAUGGCGACCGGCGAACGGGUGCGUAACGCGUAUGCAACUUACCUUUUACUAGAGAAUAGCCAAGAGAAAUUUUGAUUAAUGCUCUAUACUCUUAUUAACUCACAUGAGUUUUUAAGAAAAGCUCCGGCGGUAAAAGAUGGGCAUGCGUCCUAUUAGCUUGUAGGUGAGGUAACGGCUCACCUAAGCUCCGAUAGGUAGGGGUCCUGAGAGGGAGAUCCCCCACACUGGUACUGAGACACGGACCAGACUUCUACGGAAGGCAGCAGUAAGGAAUAUUGGACAAUGGAGGAAACUCUGAUCCAGCGAUGCCGCGUGAAGGAAGACGGCCCUAUGGGUUGUAAACUUCUUUUAUACAGGAAUAAACCUAUCCACGUGUGGAUAGCUGAAGGUACUGUAAGAAUAAGGAUCG
rnacentral:rRNA from 1 species